UACGUAGGGUGCGAGCGUUAUUCGGAAUUACUGGGCGUAAAGUGUGCGCAGGCGGCCGCGCAAGUCGAGUGUGAAAGCCCCGGGCUUAACUUGGGAAUUGCGCUCGAAACUACGUGGCUGGAGUGUGGCAGAGGAAGGUGGAAUUCCAGGUGUAGCGGUGAAAUGCGCAGAUAUCGGGAGGAACACCAAUUGCGAAGGCAGCUCGCUGGGACGUUACUGACGCUGAGACGCGAAAGCGUGGGGAGCAAACAGG
rnacentral:rRNA from 1 species